rnacentral:lncRNA from 1 species
CCAACCAAACCAUUGACGACGACGGACCAUAAUUAAGUAGCUAGCUACUAGGCAUCGAUCGAUUCAGGAGCACUGGAAUCCGGUGGGGACGCGCCUGCCGCAGUAGUUCACGAGGAGGCUGAGGUUGAUGGGCAGGUUGAGGGUGAUGCCCAGCACGUUGGCGCGCAGGGCCGUGCACAGGCACACCGCCGCCUCAAGGUCCGCCAGGCCCUGGAUCAGCGUGCAGCACGGCGUCCGCGGCGGCGUCCCGAGGGUCGCGUUGAUCAGCCCCUGUAGCACGUUGGCGCACACACCAAGCUUCAGGGCAUCCACGGGGCACCUACGACCUUGGCCUCCGCCUCCUCCGCUGCCGCCGCCUCCGCUCCCGCCCCCGCCGGUGCCGCCGCCUCCGGUGCCGCCCCCGCCGGUGCCGCCCCCUCCGCUCCCGCCGCCUCCGGUGCCGCCCCCGCCGGUGCCACCCCCUCCGGUGCCGCCCCCGCCGGUGCCGCCCCCUCCGGUGCCGCCCCCUCCGCUCCCGCCCCCGCCGGUGCCGCCCCCACCGCUUCCGCUGCCGCCUCCACCACCAGAGGAUCCUCCGCCGCCUCCCCCACCGCUCCCACCCCCGCCGGUGCCGCCCCCACCGCCUCCACCACCACCACCUCCCCCGGCGCCACCGCCGCCUGGGCUAGGACAGGCGCCGCACUUGCAGCCGCAGGCGUCGGCGAAGGCGAAGAAGAGGAGGUUGAGGGCCAGGAGCGUGGCGACCACGGAGGCUUUCUUCGCCGCCAUGGUGGCUUGCGGGCUAGCUAGUGCUUCUGCUAUCUCUCUGCCGCACUAGUGGUGC